CUCAAACUUGAGAGGCCCAAUAAGAAACCUCUUUUGCGCGCGUGCAGGUGAUGCUUAAAAAUAUGAAAAAGAGAUGAGGACUUUUAUUUCUUUGUUGUAUAUUAAGCGCAGAUAUUACAUGGUGAAGUCCUUGCUUUGGGCCUCUAGGAUAUUUCAAAACUAAUACCCAUGUUUGGUGCUAUAUAAUAUAUAGUUACAAACUGAACAAAAAAAAAAA
rnacentral:misc_RNA from 1 species